GUUCCUGUAGCGUAAUUGGUAGUGCGUUGAACUUUUAUUUCAAAGGUCGUGCGUUCGAAUCCCACCUGGGAUG